rnacentral:rRNA from 1 species
GCAAGUCGAGCGAGGUCUUCGGACCUAGCGGCGGACGGGUGAGUAACGCGUGGGAACGUGCCCUUCACUACGGAAUAGCCCAUGGAAACGUGGAUUAAUACCGUAUACGCCCUUCGGGGGAAAGAUUUAUCGGUGAAGGAUCGGCCCGCGUUAGAUUAGGUAGUUGGUGGGGUAAUGGCCUACCAAGCCUACGAUCUAUAGCUGGUUUUAGAGGAUGAUCAGCCACACUGGGACUGAGACACGGCCCAGACUCCUACGGGAGGCAGCAGUGGGGAAUCUUAGACAAUGGGGGAAACCCUGAUCUAACCAUGCCGCGUGUG